UGCUUUUUGGAUGUGGUUAAGAGUUGUGCUAUGCCUUGGGUCCACCAAAGAUUACAACUGGAGAAAAUCAGACCUUACAUGGCAGUAGUGUGCCCUACAUGUCAAUGGGUUGAUGUGAGCCUGCCUUUCUGAUAAUAUUGGUCAAGGGGCAGAGUGUCUGUUACUUUGCCCCUCCUGGAAACUUCUACAUCCCUGCUCCUGCAAGUAUUUUCUGGUCUUCCUUAAUUAAAACGAGUUGAGUUGGUGUUUCAGACAUCAGAGUCGGGGAGGAGCCAGGAGCUGAGUGUGGUGGCUCUGUCUGAGUAAGCUCAGAGGCAUCCCUGGUCUUCCACAGUCUGGUGCCCCCAAGGGUGUAGGUCAUGCUGGAGUGGUUGGAAUGGAUAAACUUUAUGAGAGCAUACUGCCUCUUCUCAAUGUGGGUCAGGGCAUCACCACAGGCAACAAAGGUUGCAGAAUAAUAAUGUCUUCCUGCUGUUAAAUAAAGGAUGAGAGAUUCUUACACUGAGUUUGAACAGAAACUUCUGAGAGCUCCUGAUCAUCUGGAAACUAGUCCCAAAUACCUACACUUGGAAAAAGGCAUGAGACUGUUUUACAGAGAUUCAGAUAACAGUUCAAAGGUGACUCUUAUACCUGCAUUUUCCCUGGAGAUGCCAAGCUGUUAAAACAAGCCUCUACUACAAGAUUGGUGCCAGUAGAAAAUGUGCAUAAAUUUUACUUCAGUGAAGUGUCAUUUCAGUGUAUUUCUUUUGCUGAAGGAAUAAAACAAAGUUACAAUC